GAGCUGGUUGCGCCCCGAUGGGGGAACCAGUCCCUCCGCAGCGGACUCCACACAGGGACUCGCGGGUCUGGACUCAGGCUGCAGCCCGCAGAGAGGAGCUGGUCUUUGUGGAGGAGGACCAGCAUUUCAUGACUAGAGGAGCCGGACCGGAUUCUGGACCCGCAGCACAGGACCUGCAGACCGGCUGCGAGGUACCGGACCAUUCACCCCGCGGCAGCUCUGGGGGUCUGGAGGUAAUCAGUGCGGCUGGAACCAGCUCCUCUGCACCGGCAGGCCGACGUACGGUGCUCGCCGUCGGCGAGGAGGAAGCCGUGACCUCCGGGAGGAGCCGGUUCCCACGCCCAGGAGAAGAGACGCUGGAACACAAACAGUCACCGCUCAGGAAGGAAAGGCUCCGUUUGGGCCUCUAUCAGACCAGAGAGGGCCCGUCACCCCGGGAGGCCCCGCCCCCUCCAGUCUUCUGCUUCUUCGUUGGGGAUGAGGUCAUCAUCAGGAGCUUGAUGUCCAUCAGAGGGAUCAGAUGUGUAGUGUAACAAAGGAGAGGGAACAAGUCCUUCAUGGGGGCGGUCCUCUCGCUUCAGACUCCUGCAGAGACGUUCACCACGUCAGCUCCUUCCUCUGACCUCUGACCUGCAGGCCACUUCAGACUGAACUAGAUGACCUCCCCCAAGAUGACUCUUCUGGUUGUAUAGAAGUCUAUGCUUCUUGGUUAAAGCUGCAUUCUCUCUCCUGACCACCAGGGGGUGACUCCUCUGGUUGUAUAGAAGUCUAUGCUUCUUAGUUAAAGCUGCAUUCUCUCUCCUGACCACCAGGGGGCGACUCCUCUGGCUGUAUAGAAGUCUAUGCUUCAUGUUUUAAUGCUGCAUUAUCUUUACUGACCACCAGGGGGCGACUCCUCUGGUUGUAUAGAAGUCUAUGCUUCACGUGUUGCAUUCUCUCUCAUGACCACCAGGGGGCGACUCCUCUGGUUGUAUAGAAGUAUAUGCUUCACGUGUUAAAGCUGCAUUCUCUUUACUGACCACCAGGGGGCGACACCUCUGGUUGUAUAGAAGUCUAUGCUUCACAUGUUACAGCUGCAUUCUCUUUACUGACCACCAGGGGGCGACUCCUCUGGUUGUAUAGAAGUCUAUGCUUCAUGUGUUCUUUUGUGCUCAUUUGAUAUGAAAUUUGAUGAAGUCGUGUUUCAAUAACUUUUGGUGAUUCUCAGAUUUUUUAUUAUUUUCUAAAUCCUCCAGUGCUAUGGUUUGUAAGCCCAUAACUCUGAAACGAAUAACACUCCCAGCAGAGCUUCAUUUCUGACGCAGCGUUUUGAUAUCGUCAGAAUUUCAACAUGUUUAUAAUUUAUUGUUGCAGAUAAAAAUCAGAGUUAUCUGUU